UCUACUUCUGCUUCCAGAUAACUGCUGAAAAUUUUAAACAAACCAGAGCUCUGGCAGGACCCUGCUAGACGCUUCGUCCAAACAUAUCAUCUUACAACUCAGAUAAAAGGAUCUGCUGGAUUUUCUUUUGGCUGAGAUAAGACAUUUGUAUUCAUUGAAACCAAUGUUAAUUGGCCUGGAAACAUCACAUUGCUGUGACUCAGCAGAGGACCUUUUUCUGGAGAGGCACUCCACCUGAGGUCAGCCUGGAUCCAUCCACACACCAUCUACACAGGCAGGCAGCACCCUUAAGAGUAGAUUGGGUUGAAGUUGGCAAGACCUAAGUGGCUUGAAGCAGAGACAGAUACGAU
rnacentral:lncRNA from 1 species